UUUGCUGAGUGGCUGAAGGGUGAUGUCAUUGUGCAUCUUCUACGCCAAAAGAGAAAAUGGUUUAGCUAUAUAGGAUACAUCAGGUCUGUCAACUAAACCAUUGGUUUGUUUAACCAUCUUUUCUGUUUUCUCAGUUUUGGAAAUACCGAUUUUAUUAUUAAUAAAACAUUAACAUAUAUGGCGCUUCUCAAAGAAAGCAUGCUAAAAUUCUGGCCUAUAUCUAAAAUCAUUAUAUGGAUUGAAACCAGCUGAAAAAAAUUAGCAAAUAGAUUAAGUGGAUUUAAGUAAUUAUGUGUAUAAUGAUCCCAUACGCUCACUGAUUUCAGCAGACAUUCAGUCAUUUAGCCUUUAAUAUUAAGAUGCUUAAUAUGCAUUUUGGUAGACAUUCACACUCAAAUUUAACCCCAAAUUUUGUUAAUGGCUUUGGCAGCAUAGAAGUCACUGAAAUCUUUUAAAUCUUUGAAAAACGCUGGUAAUGAGAAGUUGUAGUGAACCUUCUGAGUUUGUUUUGAAAUUUAUAAUAUAUUAACUUAAACGAGGUUUUAAGUCAUUCUGUCAUGAUAAAAAAUAAGACAAGAGUCUUCCAUAUUUGUUUUUUCUCUCAUCUAAAUCUAUAUUACACUCAAGUUGUUCUGUAUAUUGCAUUCAGCAAAAUACUUUUAGAAACUUAUAAGUUUAACAAGUAUUAACAAAGUAUUGCACAUAUUGCAGUUAAUUUCAAAGGCAUGCUGUGGCUACUAGACAUUUUUAUUUUAAAAUAAUAUGAAGACUGAAGGCAGGCUGUGGGAGUUUGGAGUCCAAAAGAUUGAUUUAAAUGCCCUUGACCACAUAUUAAAGGUUAAAAACAUAGACCACAUAACCUCUGACGGUGCUUGGAGGUCUUUUCUCUCUAAUGUAGUGAAUUCAUUUUUAAUGCCAUUAUUGGGAAUUUGCCAAAUGUGUAUAUUUAUUUUUUGCAACUAAACAAUAAUUUAUGUUGUAACAAGAGAAUAUACCCAAAUGUUCAGCUUUUUAGUGACUUAGAAAACUUGUACAGUAGUGCAAAUAAUUAUUAGAUAUGUUUAUUUACUAGCAAUUCUAAGAUCAAAUGCUAUAAAAUGACAUGCUGUAAAACUGACCUUUUGAGAUUUUUCUUUUUACAUGCAUUGUACUUUGCAGAACCCAUCACUGAAGUCAGCAAAAAAAAAAACACCAGGUAGAGAGGGGUGGACAUUUUGUAUACUGAAAAUAUCAAAGAGUAGCAGCAUGUUUUGCCUCUUGAAGCUUUCCAAAUUCUGCUGUGAUUUACAGAGUUUGAACAGGUUCCUCAGUAUAUAUUGGCCACAUACAUAAAGGAGGACUGGGGUUUGUGUCUUUGAAACCUACAAGACCAGUGUUUGUUUUAAACUAGAUAUUACAUGGAAAUAAUGUCAGUGCAGUGAGGUAUAAAAAUGAAAUAAAACAAUGUUGCACUAUCUUUUCAAAGAAUUUAUUCAAGUCUCUUUACUAAAGGAAAGUUACUGUAAAGAGUUAUUUUGAAAAAAAAAUGUCAAACUAUUUCUGUGUAAAAUUGUUUUCUCAAUCUGUCUUCAUUAAAAAAAGAUAAGAAAAAA